CAUAUUCAGCGUGCCAACUAUGGUCGUCGUCAACACGAUGUGUGUUCCAUUGGGCGCCCACAUAAACAACUCAAAAACACCAACUGCCUCAGCACAUCCACCACAAGCACAAUGGCAGAAAGGUGUGACGGAGAGCGCCAGUGUAUCGUCAAGGUAUCCAACUCCGUGUUCGGUGACCCCUGUGUCGGAACCUAUAAGUACUUGGAUGUGGCUUACACCUGUUACUGAAUAAUAUCUUCCUGGGGAACCUGAAGAUGUACAAGGCUUCUGGGACAUUUUCAUCGGGUCGUGCUGUUUUUUCCUCCAACCGCCCAAAUCAACUUCAGUGACCAUUGUAAACCUGUGCAUUUUGUGCUGAAACAUUUCUUAAACAAUUUCUUAACUGUGGUUGUUGGUCUGAAUUAAAUGACGU